rnacentral:rRNA from 1 species
UUCCGGUUGAUCCUGCCAGAGGUCACCGCUAUUGGAUUUCGCUUAAGCCAUGCGAGUCGAGAGGGUUCGGCCCUCGGCGUACGGCUCAGUAACACGUGGAUAAUCUGCCCUAAGGUGGAGCAUAAUCUCGGGAAACUGAGGAUAGUACUCCAUAGGUCUGGGAUGUUGGAAUACUCCCAAACUCAAAACUCCGGUGCCUUAGGAUGAGUCUGCGGCCUAUCAGGUAGUAGUGAGUGUAACGGACUCACUAGCCGACGACGGGUACGGGUCUUGGGAGAGAUUGCCCGGAGAUGGAUUCUGAGACACGAAUCCAGGCCCUACGGGGCGCAGCAGGCGCGAAAACUUCGCAAUGUGGGAAACCACGACGAGGGAAAUCCAAGUGACUAUGCAUAGCAUAGCCUGUUUUCUUGUCUAAAAAACAAGGAGAGUAAGGGCUGGGUAAGACAGGUGUCAGCCGCCGCGGUAAUACCUGCAGCCCGAGUGGUGAUCGUUAUUAUUGAGCCUAAAGCGUCCGUAGCCGGUCCGGUAAAUCCUUGGGUAAAUCGAUGGGCUUAACCUAUCGAAUGCUGAGGAGACUGCCGGGCUUGGGACUGGGAGAGGUCGGAGGUACUCCUGGGGUAGGGGUGAAAUCCUGUAAUCCUGGGGGGACCACCAGUGGCGAAGGCGUCCGACUUGAACGGGUCCGACGGUAAGGGACGAAGCCGUGGGGCACAAACCGGAUUAGAUACCCGGGUAGUCCACGGUGUAAACGCUGCGGGCUUGGUGUUGGAGGUCCUACGAGGGUGUCCAGUGGCGGAGAGAAGUUUGUUUAGCCCGGCGCUUGGGGAGUACGGUCGCAGAUUGAAACUUAAAGGAAUUGGGCGGGGGAGCACCGCACCGGAGGAGC